rnacentral:rRNA from 1 species
AUUGAACGCUGGCGGCAGGCCUAACACAUGCAAGUCGAGCGGAUGAAGGGAGCUUGCUCCUGGAUUCAGCGGCGGACGGGUGAGUAAUGCCUAGGAAUCUGCCUGGUAGUGGGGGAUAACGUCCGGAAACGGGCGCUAAUACCGCAUACGUCCUGAGGGAGAAAGUGGGGGAUCUUCGGACCUCACGCUAUCAGAUGAGCCUAGGUCGGAUUAGCUAGUUGGUGGGGUAAAGGCCUACCAAGGCGACGAUCCGUAACUGGUCUGAGAGGAUGAUCAGUCACACUGGAACUGAGACACGGUCCAGACUCCUACGGGAGGCAGCAGUGGGGAAUAUUGGACAAUGGGCGAAAGCCUGAUCCAGCCAUGCCGCGUGUGUGAAGAAGGUCUUCGGAUUGUAAAGAACUUUAAGUUGGGAGGAAGGGCAGUAAGUUAAUACCUUGCUGGUUUGACGUUACCAACAGAAUAAGCACCGGCUAACUUCGUG